GACGUAGGGCGCGAGCGUUGUCCGGAUUUAUUGGGCGUAAAGAGCUCGUAGGCGGCUUGUCGCGUCGAAUGUGAAAACUCGGGGCUUAACCCCGAGCCUGCUUCUGAUACGGGCAGACUAGAGGUAUGCAGGGGAGAACGGAAUUCCUGGUGUAGCGGUGAAAUGCGCAGAUAUCAGGAGGAACACCGGUGGCGAAGGCGGUUCUCUGGGCAUUACCUGACGCUGAGGAGCGAAAGUGUGGGGAGCGAACAGG
rnacentral:rRNA from 1 species